ACAGAAGCAAAGGCAUCACGUAGCUGGUUGCGUCGUCUUAUAUAUUUCUAAAUUUGUUAAGCAAAAGCAAACACAUCAUAUAGUUGGUUGCGUCGUUUUUAAUCUUUUCGAAAUUGUGAAGUUAACAACAACAGCGUGUGCGCUAAAAGGCAGUACGAACAGAACAGAGUAAAGCAACAUCACAUGACAUAGUUGAUCAUUAUAGUAUAACUUAUAUGAAGUUCUUUAACAGAAAGAAUGUUAGAUGUGCAUGUCAUUAUGUAUAAU